AGUGAACGCUGGCGGCAGGCUUAACACAUGCAAGUCGAACGGAAACACACUAAGAGCUUGCUGUUACGGGGGGCCAGUGGCGGAAGGGAGAGGAAUAUAUCCGGAUCUAGUUUUUCGUGGGGCAUAAGGUAGGGAAAGCUACGCUAAGACCGCAGACGCCGUACGGGGGAAAGCAGGGGAUCGUUGGACCUGGCGCGGUUGGAUGAGCCGAUGUCGGAUUAGCUAGUUGGCGGGGUGAAGGCCCACCAAGGCGACGGUCCGUAGCUGGUCUGAGAGGAUGGUCAGCCACACUGGAAGUGAGACACGGUCCAGACUCCUACGGGAGGCAGCAGUGGGGAAUAGUGGACAAUGGGCGCAAGUCUGAUCCAGCCAUCCCGCGUGUGUGAAGAAGGCCUUCGGGUUGUAAAGCCCUUUUGUUGGGAAAGAAAAGCAGCAGGUUAAUACCCCGCGGUUCUGACGGUACCCAAAGAAUAAGCACCGGCUAACUACGUG
rnacentral:rRNA from 1 species